ACUAAUUGCCUGUCAAUCACACCUGGAAAUAGGUAACUCGCCAGAAUGGGCUUGGCCACUACAAGCCCUCAAAAUUGAAAUAUAUCAACUUCUCGACAAAGGAGCUAUGCUCUCUCUCUCUCUCUUGACUCCAGGGUGCCAGGCCCUCUUGGGACUCCUGCUGCAGGGGCACGUUCCCCUGUGCCCCACGUGGCUCAGGGCCAUGUGGGGCUCCACACAUGGACUAAUGGACUUUAAUCUGGCCUGAAUGCUGAACCACACCCGGCUGCAACAUGGAGCAGAAACUCUGGACAUUGGCUCUGUGUCUGACUCUGCUGAACUCCCAGCUGCCCCUCUUCCAGGACUGGCUUAAGGGGCAGGGGACUUUGGAACCCAGGAAUGGGGAAACUAGCAACAAGAACCAAGAAAAAGCACUACUAGAAUGAUGUUCACCGACUUCUGAUUUACUGAAUGCAGGGCUCAGCUCACCUCACAUACUUCUGUUGCCAUGGUCCCAAAUGAAAUGCUUUUCUAAUCAAAGCAUAAGCAACCAUCUUUUAUUCAUCGUCAUUUAACUACAGAUGUCACUGUGCACAUCUCUGAACUCUCUCCCUCAUAAUGGAAGAAAAACUGAACAUAAAUGAUUAGAAAAUACCACCUGCUCAGUACUUAAUACAGAGGGAAAACACAGGCGAAUCGUUUGGAAAAAGCGGAAAAAAAAUCCAUUAGCUUGAGCUCAGCGUGUCUGAUAUUACCAACCGUGAAAGGAGAAAGUUGGGGAGGGUGCAAAAUAAAAUACUGCAUGACAGAUACCUGUUUUCUCUUUGGAAAUUUCUGUCUAAAGACUGUCAAGCACAGAGUGUGACUGAGGAGGCCACUGUAGGCCUGCCUCUAGAUUCAACACUUGCUGUGUGGAACACGGUAACAGCAGCUGGUAAAGUGAAAAUAAGCCAGGAAUGCAGUGCAUCAGAAGGCCCAAACAGUGCCCAGUUGAGCACUCAGUUGUGGCUGACAGCUGCCCUGAUGUAAAGAAUGAAGGAAAAGAUGGUUUUCAGCAGGCUUUUACUGAUGAUUUUCAUUUAUCUCUAAAAGUGGAAGGGAAGACCACAGAUCGUGUGGUUUCAUACCUAUAUUAUUGGACAAAACAAUCAAGGGGAACCAGGAGGCAGCAAACUGCAAUGGCUCCAGGCCCAGAAAAGCAACAAAACCAGACAAGUGACACCAUGACUGACCUCAGGACCAGCUGCAAUGACCAAUGACCCCCCUGCCUUGGUGCCGAACAAUCAGUGAAGAUGAUGAGCCUAAAAGGACACAACUGAAAAGCUAAUGAAUAUUCUAUCCUCCCCUGGGAUCCCCCUUAAAGACCUUAGGAUGGAGUACCUUUCAAGAACACACCCAUGCCUUCCCCUACCCCACCUCUUCCCCACAGGCACAUUACCUUUACCUUUCUUGUUCCUAAGCUUCGAGGGCCCUACUUUUGCCUCUGUGACUUAUUUCCGGAGCCCUUUUCUCUACUUCUCACUUCUUCUACCUCUGUGACUCCUGGUAAAUUUUCUCUUAUAA